rnacentral:rRNA from 1 species
UCGGGAAUUUUGGGCAAUGGGCGAAAGCCUGACCCAGCAACGCCGCGUGAAGGAUGAAGUAUUUCGGUAUGUAAACUUCGAAAGAAUAGGAAGAAUUAAUGACGGUACUAUUUAUAAGGUCCGGCUAACUACGUGCCAGCAGCCGCGGUAAUACGUAGGGACCAAGCGUUGUUCGGAUUUACUGGGCGUAAAGGGCGCGUAGGCGGUGUUGUAAGUCACUUGUGAAAUCUCUGAGCUUAACUCAGAACGGCCAAGUGAUACUGCAGUACUAGAGUGCAGAAAGGGCAAUCGGAAUUCUUGGUGUAGCGGUGAAAUGCGUAGAUAUCAAGAGGAACACCUGAGGCGAAGGCGGGUUGCUUGUCUGACACUGACGCUGAGGCGCGAAAGCCAGGGGAGCAAACGG